UACGUAGGGGGCGAGCGUUAAUCGGAAUUACUGGGCGUAAAGCGUGCGUAGGCGGUUCGUUAUGUCUGCUGUGAAAUCCCCGGGCUCAACCUGGGAAUGGCAGUGGAAACUGGCGGGCUUGAGUGUGGCAGAGGGGGGUGGAAUUCCGCGUGUAGCAGUGAAAUGCGUAGAGAUGCGGAGGAACACCGAUGGCGAAGGCAGCCCCCUGGGCUAACACUGACGCUGAGGCACGAAAGCGUGGGGAGCAAACAGG
rnacentral:rRNA from 1 species